rnacentral:rRNA from 1 species
UACGUAGGGUGCAAGCGUUAAUCGGAAUUACUGGGCGUAAAGCGUGCGCAGGCGGUUUUGUAAGUCUGUCGUGAAAGCCCCGGGCUCAACCUGGGAAUUGCGAUGGAGACUGCAAGGCUUGAAUCUGGCAGAGGGGGGUAGAAUUCCACGUGUAGCAGUGAAAUGCGUAGAGAUGUGGAGGAACACCGAUGGCGAAGGCAGCCCCCUGGGUCAAGAUUGACGCUCAUGCACGAAAGCGUGGGGAGCAUACAGG